AUUGAACGCUGGCGGCAGGCCUAACACAUGCAAGUCGAGCGAGCGGCGGACGGGUGAGUAAUGUCUGGGAAACUGCCUGAUGGAGGGGGAUAACUACGGGAAACGGUAGCUAAUACCGCAUACCAUCAGAUGUGCCCAGAUGGGAUUGGAUCGUGGGUGGGGUAACGGCUCACCUAGGCGACGAUCCCUAGCUGGUCUGAGAGGUAGACCAGCAACACUGGAACGGAGACACGGCCCAGACUCCAACGGGAGGCAGCAGUGGGGAAUAUUGCACAAUGGGCGCAAGCCGGAUGCAGCCAGGCCGGGUGGGUGAAGAAGGCCUUGGGGUUGUAAAGCACUUUCAGCGGGGAGGCGUUACCCGCAGAAGAAGCACCGGCUAACUCCGUGCCAGCAGCCGCGGUAAUAC
rnacentral:rRNA from 1 species